rnacentral:rRNA from 1 species
AGUCUCCUUAAGGAACGUUGAAGACGACGACGUUGAUAGGCCGGGUGUGUAAGCGCAGCGAUGCGUUGAGCUAACCGGUACUAAUGAACCGUGAGGCUUAACCUUACAACGCCGAAG